UUAGGAAAAUUUUGGUCACGUCACCCCGGCUGCAAAGGGCCUAUUGCUUGGAAUGCCUGACACAGAAAGUAUUCGUAUACACAUAGUCUGAAAUGCUAGUCAUUUCAUGCCCUCAUUUCAGGCUAGUAAGCACACACAUUUGUUUAAUUUACUUUUAUUAUUGCCAGUUGCUUUGGAAGUACUGAAUAUAUACGAGGUAACUUGUUUUUUUUGCAUCAGUAUGACCCCAUGAUCAUUUCAUUUUGUCUCAGAAUAGAUUAUUCUCCAUCAAUGAGACAAAAACGCAGCCUAGAUUGAAUACUGAUCAUGCUCAUCCAACUUGGAAAUUACUUGUCCAACUACUCCCUUAAUUGUAAUUGGUACACUUACUAUUAAUAAUUAUCAAUUAUUAUAAUUAUUAUAUGCAUUCAACAUUGGUUUCUGUAGCAUGAAAAACAAGAGAAACUAAUUGUGCUGGUAUCCAUUUAUACUCCAUUGUGGAGAGAGGCUCUAUGGGGCUUACAUUGUGACAUUGUUUCAACAUGCAUACUUGCAAUGAUACAACUGUGACAAAUGGAUCUUUAAUGUUUGUUAUUAUGUACAUGCAGAUGGCUUCUUCUACCCAGAUGUGGUGAAGUACAAAAAGAUGUGCCGGAAAGCUAAAUACAAGGAAUACAAGAUUCAACAACAAAGAUAUCACAAGAAAGUAUUGAGAGAAAUACUUAUCUCCCGGCAGGUAAUAAUGGUACCUAAUUGCAUCCCCGAGGAUUGCUAUCUUUUUAAUUGCUGCGGAGCGAGCGUAGCGAGCGAGCAGCAACAUAAUCAGGAUUUAAGAAGAAUAUAUAGAAAGGGGUACGAAUUCUCAAAUUCAUCACUUUUUACCAGAAUGCAUUGCAGUUAACCAGACUGCACUGCGCCACUUUUACUGGAGUGCAUUGCGCCACGAA